rnacentral:rRNA from 1 species
GAUGAACGCUGGCGGCGUGCUUAACACAUGCAAGUCGAACGGAAAGGCCCAAGCUUGCUUGGGUACUCGAGUGGCGAACGGGUGAGUAACACGUGGGUGAUCUGCCCUGCACUUCGGGAUAAGACUGGGAAACUGGGUCUAAUACCGGAUAGGACCACAUUUUGGAUGGUGUGGUGGAAAGUUUUUCGGUGUGGGAUGAGCUCGCGGCCGAUCAGCUUGUUGGUGGGGUAAUGGCCUACCAAGGCGUCGACGGGUAGCCGGCCUGCGAGGGUGUACGGCCACAUUAGGCCUGAGCUGCGGCCCAGACUCCUACGGGUGGCAGCAGUGGGGAAUAUUGGACAAUGGGCGCACGCCUGAUGCAGCGACGCCGCGUGGGGGAUGACGGCCUUCGGGUGGUAAACUCCUUUCGCUAGGGACGAAGCGUUUUUGUGACGGUACCUGGAGAAGAAGCACCGGCUAACUACGUG